AUGUUCUUUGGUUCUGGAACCAGUUUAACCAUUGAAACCAAAUCCGAUUACUGGGACCGACCCAAUUACUGGGACCGACCUGAUUACUGGGACCAAUCCGAUUACUGGGACCGACCUGAUUACUGGGACCAUUCCGAUUACUGGGACCGACCUGAUUACUGGGACCAAUCCGAUUACUGGGACCGACCUGAUUACUGGGACCAUUCCGAUUACUGGGACCGACCUGAUUACUGGGACCAUUCCGAUUACUACCGACCUGAUUACUGGGACCAAUCCGAUUACUGGGACCGACCCAGUAACCGGAGAAUGAAACUAAAACCGGAUUUUUACGAUCUGGGUCCGAUUGACGACGGCGGCACCACAGUUUGUCUGGCGACUGGAUUUACUCGACUCAAUGCAACAAUGAAUGAAACUGCCUUUCAGAACAAUUCGCCGAGUCCGAUUAGAGACGCUGAUGGGAAACCGACAGGCGCCUUCAGCCAGGUGGCCUUUCUGACCGCAGGAGAGACAUGUGGAGGGAACAGCACAGAACCGGUCCAAUGUGACGCCAACCUGGAACCAGAUGAAAUGGUGAAUCUGGCCUCCAUCACCAUCUUCGGCCUGAGAGUCAUUUUCAUGAAGACGGUGGCUUUCAACGUCCUGAUGACGCUGCGGCUGUGGAUGAGUCAGUGAUUUAUUGAGGUCAAAGGAAAAGUCCUGGACCGACCCGAUUCGGACCGACCCGAUCUGAUCCGAUCCGGACCGACCCGAUCCGAUCCGGACCGACCCGAUUCGGACCGACCCGAUCUGAUCCGGACCGGACCGACCCGAUCCGGACCGACCCGAUCCGGAUCUGAUCCGGAUCUGUAGAUAAACCUCCUGUUAAAAAACGAAACGGAGUGAAUAUAAAGUUAUAAAGAUGAUUGUCUUGUUUUGUUUGAUGUUUGUGUAAAUAUUAGUUUCAUCAAAGACAAAAAUAUGUAGAUUUAUGACUCUGUGGAACUUCAAAAUAAAAGCCCAAAAUGAA